GACGAACGCUGGCGGCGUGCCUAAUACAUGCAAGUAGAACGCUGAAGGAGGAGCUUGCUUCUCUGGAUGAGUUGCGAACGGGUGAGUAACGCGUAGGUAACCUGCCUGGUAGCGGGGGAUAACUAUUGGAAGCGAUAGCUAAUACCGCAUAAGAGUAGAUGUUGCAUGACAUUUGCUUAAAAGGUGCAAUUGCAUCACUACCAGAUGGACCUGCGUUGUAUUAGCUAGUUGGUGAGGUAACGGCUCACCAAGGCGACGAUACAUAGCCGACCUGAGAGGGUGAUCGGCAACACUGGGACUGAGACACGGCCCAGACUCCUACGGGAGGCAGCAGUAGGGAAUCUUCGGCAAUGGACGGAAGUCUGACCGAGCAACGCCGCGUGAGUGAAGAAGGUUUUCGGAUCGUAAAGCUCGGUUGUAAGAGAAGAACGAGUGUGAGAGUGGAAAGUUCACACUGUGACGGUAUCUUACCAGAAAGGGACGGCUAACUACGUG
rnacentral:rRNA from 1 species